UUGCCUCUCCGCCUGCCCCGCCGCCCUUCGCCAAUCGUGUCCCCUGCGCCACCCUCCGCUUCCAGCACCCGCGCUGUUGUCCUCCCUGCCAAGCAACCCACCAAUGUCGCCUUCCUGGGCGGUGACUCCCUUCCCGCAAUGGCCCCAGGCCCGCGCGAGGCCAGGUCGAGGCUAGCGACAGCACGGCGGUGCACGCGAACCAGCGUAGCUGCGUAGGGCAGGCCCAAGCCAGGCGAUGCGGCCGCCGCCGCCGCCUCCUCCAUCUCCUCCUCCGUCCUCCCUCGACGACUCCUCUGCCGGUGCUGCCUCGGCCUCAGCCUCAGCCUCGUCCGAGCCCACGCCCAGGCGGUGCCGCCUAAUCCUCAAGUGAUGGGCGGUGCAGACGCCGUGAUGAAUCCGAUGCUGCACAGGAGGACGGCGGGAGAGAUGAGUAGCACCACGGCUGCCUCGACAUCCGGUUCCCGCUCUGCCGCCGCCAUGGCUCCUGUAGAGAGGAAGGCGACGGGAAGGAGCAACCUGGAGAGCUGCAUAUUAAUGCCUGCAACGUGUUUGACGUAAUACUAGCAUGGACAUCCAACAUGGCCGCCGCCUCUGUCGACGGAGACGACGGCAUAGCUAUGUCUGCACCAUGAUGAGAUAGUGGUGGCAUGACUGUAUUGCAGGUUCAACAAUUCUAUCGCCGUGCUCAUGGCAAUCAGGAGUCUCUCAAUGCCGAAAUCCAAUCCAUAGAAGCCGGGAACGUGGCCACGUUCCUCGUUUCAUGUUCCUCGUUCUGGAACGGGAACGGGAACGGGAACGUUCCGUGAACAAUUUAGUGUAAAAAUCCUUCAUAACCGUUGUUCCUCGUUCCGGGAACAUUCCGGUUCCGGGAACAUGGCUACUAGGAUCCAAUCAACCCUCUUUCCUACCCUUUGCUUUGCUAUCAAAAGUCGUAUUCUGUGUUUGGUAUUGGCCAAUUGUCAUGGUUAUCCCGCUGCUGAGAGGUCAUUGAUUUGCUAUCAAUUUUGUUUUCACCAAUCCCUAUUUCAGUUUCAACUACUUUGCUUGUUGUUGAGCAAAAAAAUGAGUUUUGGAGUAGUACUAUUA